CACCAAAUAUCCUGUUAAUGCAAUCAGCUUGCCGACAGCGAAGAGUAACGAACGCUGGAAAAAUAGAUCCAGAUAGGAGCAGACUGCGAAGAAACACAACCCUAAAAUACACUCUACACUACAAUGGAAUUGAAGCGUUCGAUAAUGGAAUACUUCCGACAUUAGUCUUACCAGCAGUACAAAGAGGAGGAACACGCCUUAAAGCCCCAGCGCUUUAUUGAUCCAGGCGGCACUUUCUGACACAGGACGGGAUUGGUAACUCUAUACGACUCUCCAGGUUAACGAGGGCGAAAAUGUGGCAGAAAAUUGCGCUCAUGGUUGCUGUCUUUCUUACCCCAUGCGCCAGUAACAAACCAGAUCAGUGCCCCAUUCCUCCGAGUGUGACAUCUGCUCAAAUAAAGAAUGAGUUCAGCAUUCUGCAAAAUUUCUUUGUGGGUCAACGUAUUCACUACGAAUGUUUGCCUGGUUAUAUUCAGAAUGAAAACACAACUGAUUUUAUCAUUUGUCAAAGUAAUUUAACUUGGUCAGAGCCAUUGAUAAGUUGUAUACCUAUAGAUUGUGGUGAUCCAAAAGAUAUAAAGAAUGGCUACCACACAUCUACAGGUUGAACGUAUGGGAGUACAGCAACUUACGACUGCAAUAAAGGCUAUCAACUGAUUGGUAAAGGAACUAUAGUGUGCACUAUUGAUGGAUGGAAUAAAAACAUUCCGUUCUGUGACACUAUUUUAUGCGAUCCUCUGAACCCUAUUAGCAAUGGAGAUGUGACUGAAAGAGAUAGCUGGGACAUUGGAACAGAUGCAAAAUAUUCAUGCCAUGCUGGCUAUAUUCUGAUUGGUCAACGUACCAUUAAUUGUACAGACACUGGGGACUGGAGCCAUGACCCUCCUCUGUGUAAAAGUCAUGUACCAUGACAUAAGAAGAGAAAUCACAUUGUACUGGUUAUUAGCAUGUCUUUGUAGAACUUUCAAAUGUUCUCAUUACUUUAAAUACUAUGUGGAAUUUUGGUAUUUAAAAA